AGAGUGACGGAGAAAAGAGAAAGAAGAAAUGAAUUUCAACAUUCCAAUCCCGUUUUGUUUGUUUUGUGAUUUGUAUUAUUAUUCGUUUAUUUACAUCAAAAACAGGCAUAGAUGUGUGUGUGUGUGUGUAUGUGUCCGUCCGAGGGAGAAACCAAAGGGGUGGGAGAGGGGAAAAGAAAAGCAAGAAAAGGAAGGAAUGAAUUCCAACAUUCCAUUUUCAAAUUCCAAUCCAAAGAGAAAAUCAGAGAAGAUCAUGAUUCG
rnacentral:ribozyme from 1 species